AUUAAAGUUGUUGCGGUUAAAAAGCUCGCAGUUGGAUUUUGAGAAUUAAGAGAUAUGGUCUUUUGCUUAGUCAAAUGUACUAAUUUCUUUUUCUCUUUUUUUCUGGAUAUUCAUUACUGCUAUUUAUUUAGUGGUAAACCAAAAAGGAGUAUUCAAUCUUUGGGUGCUCUGGAAUUCCAGAUCUUUUACUUUGAAAAAAUUAGAGUGUUCAAAGCAGGCAUUUUUGCCAUGAAUACAUUAGCAUGGGAUAAUAAUAUAGGACUCUUUAUCUGUAUCGUUGGUUUCUGGAUAUAAGAGUUAAAGAUUAAUAGGAACAGUUGGGGUGAUUCAUAUUUAAUUGUCAGAGGUGAAAUUCUUGGAUUUUUGAAAGAUGAACUUAAGCGAAAGCAUUUCACAAGGAUGUUUUCAUUAAUCAAGAACGAAAGUUGGGGGAUCGAAGACGAUUAGAUACCGUCGUAGUCUCGACCAUAAACUAUGCCGACCAGGGAUUGGAUUUUGUUUCUUUUGACUCUUCCAGCACCUUGUGAGAAAUCAUAAGUAUUUGGGCUCCGGGGGGAGUAUGGUCGCAAGGCUGAAACUUAAAGGAAUUGACGGAAGGGCACCACCAGGAGUGGAGCCUGCGGCUUAAUUUGACACAACACGGGAAAACUUACCAGGUCCAGACUGCAGAAGGAUUGACAGAUUGAGAGCUCUUUCUUGAUUUGCAGGGUGGUGGUGCAUGGCCGUUCUUAGUUGGUGGAGUGAUUUGUCUGAUUAAUUCCGAUAACGAACGAGACCUUAACCUGCUAAAUAGUUACUCUUAGCUUUUGUUGAGGAUUUAUUCUCUUCUUGAGCUAAUGAGGCGAACUUCUUAGAGGGACUAUUGGUUACUAACCAAUGGAAGUUUGAGGCAAUAACAGGUCUGUGAUGCCCUUCGAUGUUCUGGGCUGCACGCGCGCUACACUGAUGAACUCAACGAGUAAUUUUUCCUUAACCGAAAGGUUUGGGUAAUCUUCUGAAAGUUCAUCGUGAUGGGGAUAGAUCAUUGUAAUUAUUGGUCUUGAACGAGGAAUUCCUAGUAAGCGUAAGUCAUCAGCUUACGUUGAUUACGUCCCUGCCCUUUGUACACACCGCCCGUCGCUCCUACCGAUUGGAUGAUCCGGUGAAAACUUAGGAUGGAAGAUAUUUCACUAAUAGAGGUAACUUUGUUAGUUUUAUUUUCCAGAAUUUGUUUAAAUCUUAUUAUCUAGA
rnacentral:rRNA from 1 species